rnacentral:rRNA from 1 species
GCUCGUAAAACUCUGUUGUUAAAGAAGAACAUAUCUGAGAGUAACUGUUCAGGUAUUGACGGUAUUAACCAGAAAGCCACGGCUAACUACGUGCCAGCAGCCGCGGUAAUACGUAGGUGGCAAGCGUUGUCCGGAUUAUUGGGCGUAAAGCGGGCGCAGGCGGUAAGUCUGAUGUGAAAGCCUUCGGCUCAACCGAAGAAGUGCAUCGGAAACUGGGAAACUUGAGUGCAGAAGAGGACAGUGGAACUCCAUGUGUAGCGGUGAAAUGCGUAGAUAUAUGGAAGAACACCAGUGGCGAAGCGGCUGUCUGGUCUGUAACUGACGCUGAGGCUCGAAAGUAUGGGUAGCAAACAGGAUUAGAUACCCUGGUAGUCCAUACCGUAAACGAUGAAUGCUAAGUGUUGGAGGGUUCCGCCCUUCAGUGCUGCAGCUAACGCAUUAAGCAUUCCGCCUGGGGAGUACGGCCGCAAGGCUGAAACUCAAAGGAAUUGACGGGGGCCCGCACAAGCGGUGGAGCAUGUGGUUAAUUCGAAGCUACGCGAAGAACCUUACCAGGUCUUGACAUACUAUGCAAAUCUAAGAGAUUAGACGUUCCCUUCGGGGACAUGGAUACAGGUGGUGCAUGGUUGUCGUCAGCUCGUGUCGUGAGAUGUUGGGUUAAGUCCCGCAACGAGCGCAACCCUUAUUAUCAGUUGCCAGCAUUAAGUUGGGCACUCUGGUGAGACUGCCGGUGACAAACCGGAGGAAGGUGGGGAUGACGUCAAAUCAUCAUGCCCCUUAUGACCUGGGCUACACACGUGCUACAAUGGAUGGUACAACGAGUUGCGAACUCGCGAGAGCAAGCUAAUCUCUUAAAGCCAUUCUCAGUUCGGAUUGUAGGCUGCAACUCGCCUACAUGAAGUCGGAAUCGCUAGUAAUCGCGGAUCAGCAUGCCGCGGUGAAUACGUUCCCGGGCCUUGUACACACCGCCCGUCACACCAUGAGAGUUUGUAACACCCAAAGUCGGUGGGGUAACC